AUUAUCGAAAAGAGGUCGCAGACUUUAAGAGUAAGAUGGCUUAGUCAGAAAAAGGACGGAGGUCAUGUGAAAGGAAAGUACUGCCGAAGUUGACAAUGUUUUUUCGCGUUGUUAGCUGGGAUCUAGUAUAAGAUACUAGGAACUGUCGUGGGGAAUACCCUACGGGGCGCUAUCGAGAUG
rfam:Lactobacillus pobuzihii strain NBRC 103219 NODE_83, whole genome shotgun sequence.